GCCUUUAGUUGCCAGCAUUCAGUUGGGCACUCUAGAGGGACUGCCGGUGUCAAACCGGAGGAAGGUGGGGAUGACGUCAAGUCCUCAUGGCCUUUAUGUCUAGGGCUACACACGUACUACAAUGGCCGGUACAAAGGGCAGCCACUCAGCGAUGAGGCGCUAAUCCCAUAAAGACCGGUCUCAGUCCGGAUCGCAGUCUGCAACUCGACUGCGUGAAGUUGGAAUCGCUAGUAAUCGUAGAUCAGCAUGCUACGGUGAAUACGUUCCCGGGCCUU
rnacentral:rRNA from 1 species